rnacentral:piRNA from 1 species
UAAUGAUUAUGUCAAAAGGAG